rnacentral:rRNA from 1 species
GGUCAGGAUUAACGCUGGCGGCGUGCCUAACACAUGCAAGUCGAACGGAUAUCUUCGGAUAUUAGUGGCGAACGGGUGAGUAAAGUACAGGUAAUGUACCUCCGUACUGCGAAUAACAAGCUGAAAAGUUUGCUAAUACGGAAUAGUUUCUUCGAGAGGCAUCUUUUGAAGAUAAAGAUUUAUCGUGCGGAGAUCAGCCUGUAUCCUAUUAGUUAGUUGGUGGGGUAAUGGCCUACCAAGACGACGAUGGGUAACUGGUCUGAGAGGAUGAGCAGUCACAUUGGAACUGAGAUACGGUCCAAACUCCUACGGGAGGCAGCAGUGAGGAAUUUUGCGCAAUGGGGGAAACCCUGACGCAGCCAACGCCGCGUGAGUGAUGACGGCCUUCGGGUUGUAAAGCUCUGUCGUGUAUGACGAGUAGGGACGGUAAUACACAAGGAAGCCUCGGCUAACUACGUGCCAGCAGCCGC